AGAGUUUGAUCCUGGCUCAGAACGAACGCUGGCGGCAGGCUUAACACAUGCAAGUCGAGCGCCCCGCAAGGGGAGCGGCAGACGGGUGAGUAACGCGUGGGAAUCUACCCAUCACUACGGAACAACUCCGGGAAACUGGAGCUAAUACCGUAUACGUCCUUCGGGAGAAAGAUUUAUCGGUGAUGGAUGAGCCCGCGUUGGAUUAGCUAGUUGGUGGGGUAAUGGCCUACCAAGGCGACGAUCCAUAGCUGGUCUGAGAGGAUGAUCAGCCACACUGGGACUGAGACACGGCCCAGACUCCUACGGGAGGCAGCAGUGGGGAAUAUUGGACAAUGGGCGAAAGCCUGAUCCAGCCAUGCCGCGCGAGUGAUGAAGGCCCUAGGGUUGUAAAGCUCUUUCACCGGUGAAGAUAAUGACGGUAACCGGAGAAGAAGCCCCGGCUAACUUCGUA
rnacentral:rRNA from 1 species